UACAGAGGGGGCAAGCGUUAUUCGGAAUUAUUGGGCGUAAAGAGCUCGUAGGCGGUGUGUCACGUCGGCCGUGAAAACCUGCAGCUUAACUGUGGGCGUGCGGUCGAUACGGGCAUCACUGGAGUUCGGCAGGGGAGACUGGAAUUCCUGGUGUAGCGGUGAAAUGCGCAGAUAUCAGGAGGAACACCGGUGGCGAAGGCGGGUCUCUGGGCCGAUACUGACGCUGAGGAGCGAAAGCGUGGGGAGCAAACAGG
rnacentral:rRNA from 1 species